UACAGGGGGUGCAAACGUUGCUCGGAAUCAUUGGGCGUAAAGCGCACGUAGGCGGUCUGUUAUGUCGGAUGUGAAAGCCCUUGGCUCAACUGAGGAAGUGCAUCCGAAAUUGGCAGGCUAGAGUACUAAAGAGGAUCGCGGAAUUCCCGGUGUAGAGGUGAAAUUCGUAGAUAUCGGGAGGAACACCAGUGGCGAAGGCGGCGAUCUGGGAAGAUACUGACGCUGAGGUGCGAAAGCGUGGGGAGCAAACAGG
rnacentral:rRNA from 1 species